AUGUGGCAAUAAAAGGAAAAAGAAAAGAAAUUCUUGGUUGGUUCCGGAGUGUCACGUGCCAGGCCCUGGAUGGCAGGGGAGGGGAAUAGCAGUGUGCCAAAGGCUGACUCUGCUCUUCUGGAACUUCCGUUCUGGUGGAAGAGGUUGGAGAACAGAUACCUGGUCUUGGCCUGAGCCUUGAGGGGUCACAGGAGGCCUGGAGUAGCUGCGCUUGGACUCUGCAGACCCCACCUUAAGCCGUCUGUCAAAUCCUCCAUUUCCAGAGCGAUUCUUCCUACCCAGUAUCUGAGACAAGACACCCACCCAGUGGAGAGACAGGAUGUCGAGAGGCCUAAGGCAAAAGGAGAGGUGGCGGCUGGGAGAGGUGCCCGGAUGGGCUCCAGGUUCCCUGAGGGGUGUGCUGAAGCGCAGGCCUGGACGCCCUGUGGCAGCUGCUGGGUGAGAAUCCUGGGGCGGAGUUACCGAGGU